UACUUUGUUGACGGCCACCCCUGGCGCAGUUCUCGCUUGGUUACCAUAAGGAACUCCUUUUACGGUAGUUACAUGGAGCUGCUGACGCUAAAAAUGGGAAAAAGUGAUUUUCAUCAGGUUUUCGAGAAUACUGUUGAAGCAGACCAAACAAAAUUUAAACUGAUCAUUGGACACAGCAAAAGAAGACAGGAAACAGAUAAAAUCGGGGGUAAAAAUUAUGCCUGCAAUUAUCAUUUGACACAGCGGAAGCAGACAAACUCAAGCACAACACUUGUACUCGAUACAUAACGUGUCAAUAAGUAAUAGCAACGAAACUUCGUCAAGUUACAAGGAGAAUCAAAAGCUGCUCCACCUGACGCAGAUCGACACGGAACUGCGAAUGUCGCCUGGAAGGUGGUAACGUUAAUUAGCCAUUGCUAACUAGUUCCUUGGUAACCAAGCGAGAACAGCGCCAGGGGUUCCCGUUAACAAAGUAAACUACGAUUCAGCUGGCGUUGCUGGUGAGUGCCGAAAAGGGAUAUCUAUUUGUGUAACUAUAUAGCGGUUGAGCAACGAGCGAAAUGAGCGCUACAGUGACCGGCAGACACGCAUAACAUCGCUCUGCAUGAGAAGCAGUUGCUCCAGAUUGUUCAGCACCUGAUGACUUGACUUCGGAGGAUUGAUCAUUCAUAUAUAGUCAUAGCCGGGAGAGUGGUAUAUUGAGAAGGAUUCAUCACGCCAGCUCGUCGCUCAUCGUGCCGGAAAAAGAAUUUGUUCUCGAUUUCAGAAGAGCUCUUGAUAAUUGCGAAAAAUUCUUUGAUAAUUGCAAACCAUGUUGUUUUGAAUGUCCUACCGUAUGAGAUAAAACUAUUUAUUCAAUUCAAUUUCAAUAGGUGGUUCACUUUUACAUGAUUUCAAUCUCGAAGGUCAUCAUGAAAGUAUUUACCUGUAUGAGAAUUUGUUGACAUUAGUUCUUUUGGGCACAAGCAUGAUGCAACAAUACGUCGAAUAAUCUGUCAGUGAAAAGAAUAUACAACAUCUAAUUAUCUAUACUGUAUUAAUUUAAAUAUCCUGCCUACAUAUUUCAA